GACGAACGCUGGCGGCGUGCUUAACACAUGCCAGUCGAACGGAAAGGCCCAGCUUUUGUGGGGUGCUCGAGUGGCGAACGGGUGAGUAACACGUGAGUAACCUGCCCUUGACUUUGGGAUAACUUCAGGAAACUGGGGCUAAUACCGGAUAGGAGCUCCUGCUGCAUGGUGGGGGUUGGAAAGUUUCGGCGGUUGGGGAUGGACUCGCGGCUUAUCAGCUUGUUGGUGGGGUAGUGGCUUACCAAGGCUUUGACGGGUAGCCGGCCUGAGAGGGUGACCGGCCACAUUGGGACUGAGAUACGGCCCAGACUCCUACGGGAGGCAGCAGUGGGGAAUAUUGCACAAUGGGCGGAAGCCUGAUGCAGCAACGCCGCGUGCGGGAUGACGGCCUUCGGGUUGUAAACCGCUUUCGCCUGUGACGAAGCGUGAGUGACGGUAAUGGGUAAAGAAGCACCGGCUAACUACGUG
rnacentral:rRNA from 1 species